GAGUGAGUGAGUGAGUGAGUGAGUGAGUGAGUGAGUGAGUGAGUGAGUGAGUGAGUGAGUGAGUGAGUGAGUGAGCAAGAGAGAAAGAGCAUGAGCGAGAGGAGAGAGAGAGAGAGAGAGAAAGAGCAUGAUCGAGAGAGAGAGAGAGAGAGAGAGAGAGAGAGAGAGAGAGAGCGAAGAGAGAUCGAGCAUCAUGAAUAUAGCUGCCCUCCAACAGAAUCUAUGUCUACACUAGGUAAAGUGACGCAGUAGGUCUGUGAAAGCUACAUGGACAACAUUCAGACUCCAGCUACUACAGUUAUUAAAGGACUUCCUGUAAUGACUACCAGAGUGAGUCCGGUGACAGAGAAGAGUGUGUCCAGUCCACUGUAGAUGAAGAAGGGGAUGAGGAGUCUCAGUCUGUAGUCUCUCAGGUGUUUGAAGGGCAACUGGAAGAUGUUCCCCCAGCCGAUACUCCUCAGAUCGAUCUCCUCUGUAGGGCGGUACGCAGCCCCGCACACCGCCAGGAACUAUGGGUAAAACACAGUGAAGGACUGUGGGACAGCAAGCAAUGGACUCUGGGUAAUCUCGGAGGGUGUUGUAUUGAUUGUUGGGUGUAAUAAAACUAGGUUUUUAGGAUGAUCAUUUUAGGUAGGUGUGUACAGACGUGUCUUUGCCUGUGUGUGUGUGUCUUACGAUGAUCAUGGAGAGGAAGGCGGCCCCCAUGAGAACACUCUCCACCUGGAUCAGCGCCAGGGAACGAGGGAGGUGCUUCAGGACGGUCCUGUUGAAACCCUCGAUCAUACCACUGCCCUCCGCACCUGGAGGGGAGGGGGAGGAGUUAUUAAAACCACCAAUCAUACCACUGCCCUCCGCACCUGGGGGGGGGAGUUAUUAAAACCACCAAUCAUAGCACUGUCCUCUGAACCCAAUAAAGAGAGAGGGAUAAAGAAAGUGAUGAAACAAAAACCUGUAUAUUUUUUAAACCAUUGAUCAGAGAGAGAGAGAGAGAGAGAGAGGAGGGGGGAGGGGGAUGAGAGAGAUUCAGGUGCACGAAAACAGUGCUAUUAAAACCAUAGAUCUUGCUUCUCCUCUGAGAGUCAGGGUAAGGAAAUGGAAGUUAAUAACAGACUACUGGUCAGUUUACCACAGUGUUUAACAUUGUACAGUGUGUGGUUGUAGUCACUAAGGUACUGGUGGAGGAAGAUGCGCUGGGGGAACUCUGCAAACACCAGGCUGAGCUGAGAGACACAAAGAGAAACACAGCCAGACAUCAGAAUCCUCACACACACGAACACACAAAAGGCAAUGCUUAACCGAUAUCACUCACUGACUGACAAGUGACUCGACCAAUGGCAACAUACAUGGAAGAUGACGAAGAACACGGAUUGGAAGACGAUGACAUAGCGAUGACACGCCCCUUGGG
rnacentral:lncRNA from 1 species